UACUGCUGACUCCUUCCUCGUCCUGGAGGCUCCUCCCACUUGCUCGAUCAUCCUGCAGUGUCAAAUCAGUGUCAGAUCCUCAAAGUCAGGAAGAAAGUCAGUAGGGAGCGUGGCUCACACACACUGGUGUCUACAGCAGGCAGAAGCCACGCUUCCUCCUACGAGGACAACCUCAGUUCUGCUCUGUUUUGUAGCAUUCGGUGGGACGCUAAAUGAACAUUUAAAGGCUUUCUAAAAGUCUUUCUUCUACCGGUGAGCUCACUAAGGUCACACUGCCGUAUCGUAGAGCCACGUGUUAGACAUCAUCCCUUUCACAUGUGAACUGCAGUAUCAUCUAGUAGUGUGAAUGGCUCAGGUGACCAUUCCGUUUUGACAGUACUUUCUUCCAUGACACCGCACUGCCUUUUUGUCUCAGGAGGAUUUGGAGCGCAACUAUGACAGCCUGCCUUCAAGAAUCUUUCCUCUUAAUUCAGAGUUUUUUUUCAUCAUGGUGGAAAGCAGAAUGCCAAGAAAAAAGUCCACUAUCUGAUUCCAGGGAUGGUUCUGGAAGAUCUCCAGGACCAGUGGACCCUUCACAUGUACGUCACAUGGUCAGGUAGGGACGGGCUAAGUUUAUACGGGUGGGGCACAGACACGGAAGAGCAGUGUGACUAUGAGAUGGUACCAGGUGGCCACAUUCAAAUAGCUUUAAUAGACACUUGAGCCCAGGAAAAUAUGUGCAAUCCCUCAGUUCUCCAUUCUGUCAAACAUGACUCAAAGAUAAUACUACUGUCUCAGAAGGACUCAUUUUUAAGCCAAUAAACCUAAGACAGAAAAAAAAAAAAA